UAUUUUAUAGUGUUUAGUCACGCAGAAAUUUGAAUUCUGAAGAAUUGAGGAAUCAAUUAAGAUAA
rnacentral:tRNA from 1 species